rnacentral:rRNA from 1 species
ACGGGGCCCGCACAAGCGGUGGAGCAUGUGGUUUAAUUCGGUGCAACGCGAAGAACCUUACCUGGUCUUGACAUCCACAGAACUUUCCAGAGAUGGAUUGGUGCCUUCGGGAACUGUGAGACAGGUGCUGCAUGGCUGUCGUCAGCUCGUGUUGUGAAAUGUUGGGUUAAGUCCCGCAACGAGCGCAACCCUUAUCCUUUGUUGCCAGCGGUCCGGCCGGGAACUCAAAGGAGACUGCCAGUGAUAAACUGGAGGAAGGUGGGAUGACGUCAAGUCAUCAUGGCCCUUACGACCAGGGCUACACACGUGCUACAAUGGCGCAUACAAAGAGAAGCGACCUCGCGAGAGCAAGCGGACCUCAUAAAGUGCGUCGUAGUCCGGAUUGGAGUCUGCAACUCGACUCCAUGAAGUCGGAAUCGCUAGUAAUCGUGGAUCAGAAUGCCACGGUGAAUACGUUCCCGGGCCUU